rnacentral:lncRNA from 1 species
GGUUGCACUUUCGGCACCUGUAGCUCCAGCACUUUCAGCGCCUGUAGCAGCUCCACUACUUUCACCACCCGCAGCAGCUCCACCGCUUUCUCCACCAGGUGCAGCUCCACCAGGUGCAUCUCCACCAGGUGCAGCUCCACCAGCAGCACUAUCACCACCAGCAGCAUCUCCACCACUUGUGCUUCCAGUAUCACCAGCUGCUCCACUUCCAGCACCCAUAGAACUGUCUCCUCCACUAG